GGCACUUUCCAAUCAGGCCGCCGUCCUCCUUAUCUGAAUCGCGUGCCUUCCAGGCUUCCAGCCCUCUGCCCGCUGUGCCCCACGCCCGGCCCCCCGAUCCGACCCACCCAGCGCCAUGUCCCCCGCGUGCGCCACGCCGGCGGCGGCGCGCCCGCUCAACACGGUUCCGACACGCCGCUCGCCGCCCUCUGCCGCGCGCCCGCCAUCGGCCAUCCCCGCCCGCCGCUCCGCCGGCUGCUGCUUCUGCGCCUCCUCCUCAUCCUCGGCAUCGUCGCCCUCCACCUGGGACUGGACCCGAUGGAGCCGCCACUUCGACGAGGUCGACCAGGCCGAGAGCUACGCAUCCCUCCUCCAGUUCCAGCUGGAGGAGGCGGUGGAGAACGAGGAUUUCGCGGAGGCCGCCAAGCUCAAGAGGGAUAUCAUAGCGGCCACAGGAAACGACGCCGUAGCCCACGUCAUGGCCGAACUCAAGAGUGCUAUAGAGGAGCAGCGGUACCAGGACGCCUCGAGGUUGACAAGGCUUGCUGGGACCAGCUUGGUAGGUUGGUGGGUGGGAUAUGCUAAGGGCAUUGAUGAUUCCAUUGGGAGAAUUGUACGAAUAAGCCCUGGUGUUGGCAGAUAUGUGGCCAAAAGCUACAGCCCGAGGCAAUUGGUCACUGCAUCUUCAGGGACCCCAUUGUUUGAAAUUUUCCUUGUCAGAGAAGAUGACAAGACAUAUACAAUGAAGGUAGUACACUUGCGACCAACAAAAGGAACUUUAGGUGCAUCAUCCAUAUCAUCAGCAAUAACAGAAAGCCCAGCAACGGUAGAGACACCAGAAAGUAGUGCUAUAUCUGAUAGUAUUACAGAGGAGGCAAAUAUAGAUACUCCAGUAAAAGGAAAUGGGGAUGCUGAAGAGAAAGAGCAAGAUGUUGGUAGCAGCAAGGAUACUAGUGUUGAUGGAUUUAAAAGUCUUUUGAAUUUUUUUAAGUCUCGAAUUCCUGAAUUCAAAGUUCAGGUGAUAAAUGUUGAUGUGUCUGAGGAAACUGAAUUGGCUGCAAAUUCGUCCGAAGAAUCAGUGCAAGACGAUGUGAAGAGUACUCCAGAAGGCUCAUUGGAAGAGCCAACCACUGAGGAACUUGAGCAGGAGGAGGAUGUUCCAGAAGAAGAUAUGGAUGAAGAAAGUAAAAGUACGAAAGUGAAGCUUUUUAUCAGUGGUGUGGUUCACAAUAAAGAAGAUGCUGGAACAAAAUCAUACGUUCGUGUUCCAGCUGAAAUAAAUAACAUGGAAAAAGACUCCUUUGACCUGUACAUUCCUGGAAAUGGUUCUGGUCAUGAUCUGCCUGAAACGAAGGCUGCAAAACAGAAAGUUGCAGAUAUGGCUGCUAAAUUAGCCUCAGAGCUUAUGCCGUCUGAUGUUGCCAAGGCAUUAUGGGGUACAACCAAGAGUUCUUCAAAGAUAAAUAAAGAAGUUCAGGAGCUUUUAAGGCUUACCUUAAGCAAGGCCCGAGUCAAGCUGACCGAUGAUACCUUUUUUAACCGGAUCAUUAUGGACACUAACAGCAUGGAUCCAUUUAAUGGUCUCUAUGUGGGAGCAUUUAGUCCAUAUGGACCAGAAAUUGUGCAGCUCCGUCGGAAGUUCGGCCACUGGAAUAGUUCCGAUGACGUUGAGUUUUUCGAGUAUGUCGAAGCAGUAAAGUUGACUGGUGAUCUGAGUGUCCCUGCUGGCCAGAUAACAUUCCGUGCGAAGAUUGGGAAGGGCAAGCGACUUGAGAAUCGGGGCGCGUAUCCAGAGGAAUUCGAUUGCCAGUUAUAAAGGUCAGGGUAGAAUAGCUCAGCCUGGAUUCAAAAAUCCUCGAUGGGUGGAUGGUGAGCUGUUGGUGCUCAAUGGCAAGAGUACAAUCCCACACCUUGGAGGCGCAGAGCUCGGUUUCCUGUACAGUGUACCUGAGCAGAGUUUUCUGGUUCUCUUCGAUCGGCUUAACCUUCCCGAGUGUUGAGACUCCUAAAAGGAGCAGAUUUCUCACAUGUAGAUUGCAUGAACGCACAGAGGCUGGCCCCAGUUCCAAGUGUUCGAACAAGUCUGUGGCCUGCGGGCCCUUUUUUCCGUCGUCCUCUGGGCUAUUUUGCUACCUGAGAUUAGGGAUGAAAGUGGUAAUCCGAACUGUUAGAACAAAUUUAAUAUUUUAAAAUAGAUAUGUAUAAAAUUUGAUGUUGAUCUUUUCUUAUGUUAUCAAGCACAUUAGUACAAAUAUGAAUAAAAUAUUAUAUAAGUUGUUU